UGUGUGUAUUAAUGUAAAUGGUGUUUUAACAGAACCUUUUAAUGUAGAGAGAGGAGUGAAGCAGGGCUGUCCUCUGAGCGCUGCUCUGUACGUCCUGGCCAUCAGCCCCCUUAUUAAAACUAUUAAUUCAGAUAGUCUUAUAACUGGCACAAGCGUUUGUCUUGCUCCCAAAAUCACUGCCAUGGCAUAUGCAGAUGAUGUCACAGUCGUUAUUAAAAACCAGAUGGAGAUGGAUGUUUUAACCAAUCACCUGAACCUAUAUGAACUGGCUUCAGGAGCUAAAUUAAAUCAUGAUAAGACAGAGGGAGUUUGGAUCGGAGUUGAAAGUAAGAAACGUGAUAUCAACAUUAAAGUAAAGGAUGAAAUUAAAAUCUUAGGUUUGACCAUUUGUAAUCAAGACUGUAGUGAAAAAAACUGGGAAAAUAAACUAUGUGAAGUUAAAGAAGAAGUUAAAAAAUGGGAAAAUAAAAACACCAAUUAUAAGUCAAGAGUGAAUAUUGUUAAAACUUUCAUCUUAUCCAAACUCCUGUUUUUAGCAAACAUCUUUCCUCCAUCUCACAAAAUGAUAAUGAAAUUAAAUAAACAGUGUGUAAACUUAGUUUGGGGUACAACCAGGGAAGUAACAAAAAGAGAAAUCAUGUAUAAAAGUAAAGAAUAUGGGGGGUUAGGGGCAGUAGAUAUGAGUUUAAAAUUAUAUAUAGCUUUUGUUAAAAACGUGUCAGCAGCAAUCUCGAGGAAUGCUCUCUGGGUCGGUGAGCGCUCCAAGUGGAGAAAAUGGAGAGGGAGAGCCAGACAAGGUCCAGAAUACAACCUGAUUUAUGGUGAUUUUAUUUAUGAAUAUGAAAAUCUUAAAAUUGACUGGAAUGGCCUCCCGAGUAAAAUGAUUUUAAAAAAAAUUAAUGGUUAUAAAUAUGGUGGGUAUAUAAAUUAUAAAUAUUUAACGCACAACGAAGGAACUCAGUUCCUGAAAUUUUUAAAAAAUAAGAACCUCUCUGAGAGCAUUCGAGACAUGAGAUGGCAGAUGUCUGUAAAUAGACUCGCUGUUAGAGCUGUUGUUUCUUGGAGUUGUUAUGUAAAAACAAAAACAUGUCCCAUGAUUAAUUGCCAAGAAGAUGAGACACAGCAGCAUCUAUUGAUGGACUGCUAUAGAGCUAAAGAGGUCUGGGAUAAAUUAGGAGUGUAUGGUGUAAAUAUUCAUCUUUCAUAUAAGUCUGUGAUGUACUGUUUUGUUGACGAACCUCUACCAGAGAAACACAAGGAACUGUUAAAAAUAAUCAUAUGUAUUGUAUGCAUGAAGUUGUGGAAAACAAGAUGCUGUAUGAUUAUACAACAGACUGUCAUAAACAGUGAAGAUGUGUGUAAACAAGUGCUCGCUGAGAUCAGGCGAAGAAAAACUAUGGAUAGAAAACGGCUCCUUCCUUGGGACAUUUUGAACCUGUGAACAGCACUUUAUAAAAAGACUAUAUGCACUUUAUAAAAAAAAAGGACUCCAUGCACUUUAUAAAUAUCUCUAUGCACUUUACACUUAAGCUUGGUUUGCACAUUUUGUUUUAUUAGUUAUAUUUUUGUAAUUCUUGUAUGGUUUAUAUUUGUCAUGUAGUCUACUGUAUGUUUAAAUGUAUAAAUUGUAAUUUGUAAAAACUUAAUAAAGCUCUUUAAAA
rnacentral:lncRNA from 1 species